UCGAGUAUGGUGUAACGGCUAACAUUACCGCCUUUCACGCGUAUGAUGAACGCGGUAGCUCGGGGUUCGAUUCCCCGUACUCGAA
rfam:Laccaria bicolor S238N-H82 LACBIscaffold_175 genomic scaffold, whole genome shotgun sequence.